rnacentral:rRNA from 1 species
AGAAUCAACGCUGGCGGCGUGCCUAACACAUGCAAGUCGAACGAGAAAGUGGAGCAAUCCAUGAGUAAAGUGGCGACCGGGUGAGUAACACGUGACUAACCUACCUUCGAGUGGGGGAUAACCUCGGGAAGCCGAGGCUAAUACCGCAUAACAUCGUGAGAUCAAAGCAGUAAUGCGCUGGAAGAGGGGGUCGCGGCUGAUUAGCUAGUUGGCGGGGUAAUGGCCCACCAAGGCGAAGAUCGGUA